CCGUGCUAGAUGGGGAGUUAGCGGUGCCCUGUAACCUGCAAUCCGCUGCAGCAGGAUUGAAUUCCUAGCCGAGACAUUGGCUUUUGAGGUCUGACCCUCAAAAGUGACGUUGAUAAGUGGGUCCCACGCAACGGAUGUCUAUGAACCUCGUCAGGACCGGAAGGUAGCAGCGAUAAAUAGAAUGUUUCGUGUGCCGUGGCCAACCUAUUUUGAGUUUACUCUUUGGGUAACGUUCGGAGGCCAUUGUCAGAGUUAGGUGCACGG
rnacentral:SRP_RNA from 1 species